GCUUAAAAUCUAGUCCUCCACAUCAAAUGAACCUCAAUACACCACUUCAACCAACAAAACAUUUUCUUUCUUUAGUAAAGGCGAUUAAAAAAUUUAUAGGAACUCUAACAAAAGUACCGCAAGGGAAAAAUGAAAUAGAAAUGAAACAAAAAUCAAGCACGACAAAGCAGAGCCCAACCUCGUACCUUUUGCAUCAUGGUUUAGCUAGUCUUAUCAAGCACAAAGAAUUUUAGUUUGACUCCCCGAAACCAAGUGAGCUACUUCAAAACAGCCUACCAAGGGCCAACCCGUCUCUGUUGCAAAAGAGUGGGAAGAUUUUCAAGUAGAGGUGAUAAACCUACCGAACCUGGAGAUAGCUGGUUAUUCAAGAAAAGGAUCUAAGUCCUACCUUAAGCUUAUUUUAUACUAAAAAAUGUUUCUUAAACUUAAGAGCUAUUCAAAUAAGGUACAGCCUAUUUGAAACAGGAAACAACCUAGACAACAGGGUAAUAAACAACAGCACAUGUCCAAGUGGGCCUAAAAGCAGCCAACUUUUAAAAAGCGUUAAAGCUUCAACAUUAGCUUCUACAAUCCCAACCUCAACCAACAACCCCUAUUCAAUAUUGAAUAACCCUAUAACUCUAUAGGAGCUAUUAUGCUAAUACUAGUAACAUGAAGAAGACCUUCUCCUAAAUGCAUGUAUAAGCCAAAAAGAACAACUCGUUGGCAUUUACCGUUAUUGAACCUAAAGCAACAACCCCCAAGAAAACAUUGCUUACUCUAACGUUAACCUUACACAAGAGCAUCCCAGGAAAGAUUAAAAGAAGUAGAAGGAACUCGGCAAAAAUUUAACCCCGCCUGUUUACCAAAAACAUCGCCUCCUGAAAACAUAGGAGGUCCAGCCUGCCCAGUGACAUGUUAAACGGCCGCGGUACCCUAACCGUGCAAAGGUAGCGCAAUCACUUGUUCUUUAAAUGAGGACUAGUAUGAACGGCAUCACGAGGGUUACACUGUCUCCUACUUCUAAUCAGUGAAACUGAUCCCCCCGUGAAGAAGCGGGGAUAAAAUUGCAAGACGAGAAGACCCCAUGGAGCUUUAAACUCAGUAUUAACCGCCACAACCUACAUCAAACAAAACAGGCGGACCUAACAACUAGUUUUAGGUUGGGGUGACCACGGAGCACAACACAACCUCCAUGAUGACUCCUCUAAUCUUAGAAUGACAACUCAAAGAAUCAAAAAAUUGACAUUCAUUGACCCAAAUAAUUUUGAUCAACGAACCAAGUUACCCUGGGGAUAACAGCGCAAUCCAUUUCAAGAGCUCCUAUCGACAAAUGGGUUUACGACCUCGAUGUUGGAUCAGGGUAUCCAAGUGGUGCAGCCGCUACUAAAGGUUCGUUUGUUCAACGAUUAAAACCCU
rnacentral:rRNA from 1 species